rnacentral:rRNA from 1 species
GAUGAACGCUGGCGGCGUGCCUAAUACAUGCAAGUCGAGCGAACAGAUAAGGGGCUUGCUCCUUUGACGUUAGCGGCGGACGGGUGAGUAACACGUGGGUAACCUACCUAUAAGACUGGGAUAACUUCGGGAAACCGGAGCUAAUACCGGAUAACAUUUGGAACCGCAUGGUUCUAAAGUGAAAGAUGGUUUUGCUAUCACUUAUAGAUGGACCCGCGCCGUAUUAGCUAGUUGGUAAGGUAACGGCUUACCAAGGCAACGAUACGUAGCCGACCUGAGAGGGUGAUCGGCCACACUGGAACUGAGACACGGUCCAGACUCCUACGGGAGGCAGCAGUAGGGAAUCUUCCGCAAUGGGCGAAAGCCUGACGGAGCAACGCCGCGUGAGUGAUGAAGGGUUUCGGCUCGUAAAACUCUGUUAUUAGGGAAGAACAAAUGUGUAAGUAACUGUGCACGUCUUGACGGUACCUAAUCAGAAAGCCACGGCUAACUACGUG